rnacentral:sRNA from 1 species
AAAAACAGAAACAGAAA